rnacentral:rRNA from 1 species
AGAGUUUGAUCCUGGCUGAGAGUGAWCGCUCAGAACGACUAACACCGGCAGGCCKAACACAUGCACAGUCGAGCGCCCCGCAAGGGGAGCGGCAGACGGGUGAGUAACACAUGGGAAUCUACCCUGUCGUGGGGAAUAACGUAGGGAAACUUACGCUAAUACCGUAUGUGUCCUUUGGGAGAAAGAUUCUAUCGCGAAUAGAUGAGCCCGCGUCGGAUUAGCUAGUUGGCGGGGUAAAGGCCUACCAAGGCGACGAUCCAUAGCUGGUCUGAGAGGAUGAUCAGCCACAUUGGGACUGAGACACGGCCCAAACUCCUACGGGAGGCAGCAGUGGGGAAUAUUGGACAAUGGGCGCAAGCCUGAUCCAGCCAUGCCGCGUGAGUGAUGAAGGCCUUCGGGUUGUAAAGCUCUUUCACCGGAAAAGACCUAAUGACGGUAUCCGGAGAAGAAGCCCCGGCUAACUUCGUGCCAGCAGCCGCGGUAAUACGAAGGGGGCUAGCGUUGUUCGGAAUUACUGGGCGUAAAGCGCACGUAGGCGGAUCGAUCAGUCAGGGGUGAAAUCCCAGGGCUCAACCCUGGAACUGCCUUGGAUACUGUCGAUCUGGAGUAUGGAAGAGGUGAGUGGAAUUCCGAGUGUAGAGGUGAAAUUCGUAGAUAUUCGGAGGAACACCAGUGGCGAAAGCGGCUCACUGGUCCAUUACUGACGCUGAGGUGCGAAAGCGUGGGGAGCCAACAGGAUUAGAUACCCUGGUAGUCCACCCCGUAACGAUGAAUGUUAGCCGUCGGGC